UGCAACCUGAGCUCAGUCGUGAUUACCCGCUGAACUUAAGCAUAUCACUUAGCGGAGGAAAAGAAACUAACAAGGAUUCCCUCAGUAACGGCGAGUGAACGGGGAGGAGCCCAGCGCUGAAUCUCUCGGUGUUACAUCGUUGAGAAAUGUAGCGUAUAGGUGUGGCUUUCAGUUUGUGCUGCAUGUCCAAAGUCCCUUUGAUAGGGGCCACAUUCCUGAGAGGGUGCGAGACCUGUGCGGACAGUGGAGCAAGCUGUACGGUCAUAUCUUGGAGUCGGGUUGCUUGAAAGUGCAGCCUAAAGUGGGUGAUAAACUUCAUCUAAGGCUAAAUAUAGACGCGAAUUCGAUAGCAAACAAGUACUGUGAAGGAAAGUUGCAAAGAACUUUGAAGAGAGAGUUCAAGAGAACGUGAAAUCGCUGGAGUGGAACCGGAGAGAGUUGACGUAGUCAGGUAACUAAGUUUGCCAAAGUCGCUUAACUGUGACGGCGGGAGAUGUAUGUUGCCUACGGCUGCGCUGACAGCACUGGCUGUGCGUUCCGAACCGUCUGCGUUGCCCACCUCGGUGGUGUCUUGCUCUCGGGUAGGUUUGUCGCGGCUAGUGUUUUAUCCUGCUCGCAGGGUGUCAGUGUGAAAGUCGACCACCUCUCCGACCCGUCUUGAAACACGGACCGAGGAGUGUAACUUGUACGCGAGUCAAAGGGUGGAAAACCCCACGGCGAAAUGAAAGUAAAGGUCGGUUAACCGGCUGACAUGGGAUCUGCUUUUCGAGGCAGCGCACCAUGGCCCUGUCUCGUCUGCUUGCAGAUGGGCAGCGGUAGAGCGUACAGGUUGCGACCCGAAAGAUGGUGAACUAUGCCUGAGCAGGACGAAGUCAGAGGAAACUCUGAUGGAAGUCCGUAUCGGUUCUGACGUGCAAAUCGAUCGAUAGACUUGGGUAUAGGGGCGAAAGACUAAUCGAACCAUCUAGUAGCUGGUUCCCUCCGAAGUUUCCCCCAGGAUAGCUGGAGUUCAUAGCGGUUAUAUCCGGUAAAGCGAAUGAUUAGAGGACUUGGGGUCGAAACGACCUCAACCUAUUCUCAAACUUUCAAUGGGUAUGUUGUCUCGGUUUCUUUGUUGAACUGUUGACACGAACGCGAGCUCCAAGUGGGCCAUUUUUGGUAAGCAGAACUGGCGCUGUGGGAUGAACCAAACGUUGGGUUAAGGUGCCUAACUUCUCGCUCAUGAGACCCCAUAAAAGGCGUUGGUUGAUAUAGACAGCAGGACGGUGGCCAUGGAAGUCGGUACCCGCUAAGGAGUGUGUAACAACUCACCUGCCGAAUCAACUAGCCCUGAAAAUGGAUGGCGCUUGAGCGAGGGACCUAUACCCAGCCGUUGCUGGCUUGUGCGUUGUCUAGCGCCUGGCCGCAACGAGUAGGAGGGUCGUGGCGGUUGCGUCGAAGGCUUUGGGCGUAGGCCCAGCUGGAGCUUCCGUCAGUGCAGAUCUCGGUGGUAGUAGCAAAUAUUUAAGUUCGAUCCUUGAAGACUGAAGUGGAGAAGGGUUCCACGUGAACAGUAGUUGAAUGUGGGUCAGUCGAUCCUAAGAUACUGGCUUAUGCCUUGUAUCAUUGAGAGGGAAAAGUUUCUUUUCUCUCGGAUAUCAAAAGGGAAUAGGGUUAAUAUUCCCUAACGCAGACACAGAGAUUGCGGCUCUUUGAGUCGCUUGCGCGGUAACGCAUUCGAACUUGGUUACGUCGCUCAGAGACCGAGCUAGAGUUCUCUUCUCUAGUUAAGGAACGGACUCCCUGGAAUCGGUUCAGCCGUAGAUAGGGACGUUGUUUCCGUAAAGCAUCGCGGUUUCUGUGAUGUCUCGUGUUCUCUGGACGGCCCUUGAAAAACCAAGGAAGGCUAUUAAUCUGUGCUGCAUCGUACCGAUAUCCGCAUCAGGUCUCCAAGGUGAACAGCCUCUAGUCGAUAGAAUAAUGUAGGUAAGGGAAGUCGGCAAAUUAGAUCCGUAACUUCGGGAAAAGGAUUGGCUCCAGUGAUCGGGUCGGUUGGCCUGUUAACUGAUGCUUGUGCGGUUUCGUCCGUGGCUGGCAGACGCUCACGCUGAAGCUGGACUAGUGACAAGACUGCCUUGUGGACGUUUUCAGGUGUGUGCUUUGUCUUCGGGCUUAGUAUCCUGACCGACCAUCAAAACGAUCGAACUGGAACUGGUACGGACUCGGGGAAUCCGACUGUCUAAUUAAAACAGAGGAGACAGAUGGUCCUUGCGGACGUUUACUGUCUCUGAUUUCUGCCCAGUGCUCUGAAUGUUAAAUCGUAGUAAUUCGAGUAAGCGCGGGUAAACGGCGGGAGUAACUAUGACUCUCUUAAGGUAGCCAAAUGCCUCGUCAGCUAACUACUGACGCGCAUGAAUGGAUUAACGAGAUUCCCACUGUCCCUAACUACUAUCUAGCGAAACCACAGCCAAGGGAACGGGCUUGGCAAAAAUAGCGGGGAAAGAAGACCCUGUUGAGCUUGACUCUAGUUUGACAUUGUGAAGAGUCAUGAGAGGUGUAGCAUAGGUGGGAGAUCUCGGUCGCCAAUGAAAUACCACCACUUUCAUCGAUUCUUUACUUAUUCGGUGAGAAGAGGAUUGAGCUUCGGCUCUUUUUUCUUUGUCUUAAGCAAAGCCACCUGGUGGCCUUGCGACUCUCGCCGAAGACAGUGUCAGGCG
rnacentral:rRNA from 2 species